GUACCAGCAUGUGACCCCUGUUUUCAAACCCUGUCUAAAAGAACAUCCUUAAUUUCUCCUGCUGUGCACACUUAAGUGGAAUCCCACACCCCGCUCUACCCACACUGUCUCCCAGGGAUCGGAGCUUGUAGAAGGGCUGGAUGUAGAACCAGGAUCCCUCGUUUCCCGCCGAGUCCAGAGUCACUCUCAUGGCGUUCUUCUCCAGCAGAGCGGAGUGUCAAAUAUAAAGCAUCAAAUCUUUUUGCCAAGGACCCAUGGAAGCAGAAACAGCUACGAGAGAAAUAAACUGCACGGGGAGAUUCCAUAUGCCAAGUCAAGUGAGUUGACAGAGAGAGAGAAGAAGAAACAGAGAGAAAUUGAGGGCUGCAUCCAGAGCUUACAGAGAAAGUAAAAAUAUGGUAAACUCUGUGUUAGACCUUACGCCGCCAUCUAUGGAGAACAUUCCACCAGUUCUGGUGGAUGAAGAUGAAGCACAAG